UACAGAGGGGGCAAGCGUUGUUCGGAAUUACUGGGCGUAAAGGGCGCGUAGGCGGCCUUCUAAGUCGAACGUGAAAUCCCCGGGCUCAACCCGGGAACUGCGUCCGAUACUGGAAGGCUUGAAUCCGGGAGAGGGAUGUGGAAUUCCAGGUGUAGCGGUGAAAUGCGUAGAUAUCUGGAGGAACACCGGUGGCGAAGGCGGCAUCCUGGACCAAUUCUGACGCUGAGGAGCGAAAGCCAGGGGAGCAAACGGG
rnacentral:rRNA from 1 species